rnacentral:rRNA from 1 species
CCUACGGGAGGCAGCAGUGGGGAAUAUUGGACAAUGGGCGAAAGCCUGAUCCAGCAAUGCCGCGUGUGUGAAGAAGGCCUUAGGGUUGUAAAGCACUUUCAGCAGAGAGGAAAAGCAUAGGGAUAAUACCCCUGUGUCUUGACGUAACCUGCAGAAGAAGCACCGGCUAACUCCGUGCCAGCAGCCGCGGUAAU